rnacentral:rRNA from 1 species
UUGGCUUAGAAGCAGCCAUCAUUUAAAGAAAGCGUAAUAGCUCACUGGUCGAGUCGGCCUGCGCGGAAGAUGUAACGGGGCUAAACCAUGCACCGAAGCUGCGGCAGCGACACUAUGUGUUGUUGGGUAGGGGAGCGUUCUGUAAGCCUGCGAAGGUGUACUGUGAGGUAUGCUGGAGGUAUCAGAAGUGCGAAUGCUGACAUAAGUAACGAUAAAGCGGGUGAAAAGCCCGCUCGCCGGAAGACCAAGGGUUCCUGUCCAACGUUAAUCGGGGCAGGGUGAGUCGACCCCUAAGGCGAGGCCGAAAGGCGUAGUCGAUGGGAAACAGGUUAAUAUUCCUGUACUUGGUGUUACUGCGAAGGGGGGACGGAGAAGGCUAUGUUGGCCGGGCGACGGUUGUCCCGGUUUAAGCGUGUAGGCUGGUUUUCCAGGCAAAUCCGGAAAAUCAAGGCUGAGGCGUGAUGACGAGGCACUACGGUGCUGAAGCAACAAAUGCCCUGCUUCCAGGAAAAGCCUCUAAGCAUCAGGUAACAUCAAAUCGUACCCCAAACCGACACAGGUGGUCAGGUAGAGAAUACCAAGGCGCUUGAGAGAACUCGGGUGAAGGAACUAGGCAAAAUGGUGCCGUAACUUCGGGAGAAGGCACGCUGAUA